GACAGCAGCAGCCACGGUAAUACGAAGGGUGCAAGCGUUACUCGGAAUUACUGGGCGUAAAGCGUGCGUAGGUGGUGGUUUAAGUCCGUUGUGAAAGCCCUGGGCUCAACCUGGGAAUUGCAGUGGAUACUGGGUCACUAGAGUGUGGUAGAGGAUAGUGGAAUUUCCGGUGUAGCAGUGAAAUGCGUAGAGAUCGGAAGGAACAUCUGUGGCGAAGGCGACUAUCUGGGCCAACACUGACACUGAGGCACGAAAGCGUGGGGAGCAAACAGGAUUAGAUACCCCAGUAGUCCCUGUCUCUUAUAC
rnacentral:rRNA from 1 species